UCAAAAUCUGGAAAUUGCAAAAUUUUCUUUCUGCAGAUCAAAACCCAAUUUGCCUUCUCCUCUCUUUCUAGAAUCCUCGCUGUUAUCCUUUUAUCCGUCUUUACCGAUGGAUUCUGGAGUCCUUGUAGAACCCUACACCUCAGAUUUGUGCACGAAACUAUAAUUUAUUUCGUUAUUUUCAGAUUCAGGGUUUUUCGAUUCGAAAUUUUCGGUUUGUUGGGUGAAAUUUGGGGGUUAUAGCCUUCUGACUUUAGAAUGAGCUAGUUUUUUUCUUUUUAAGCUUUACGUUCUCUGGAGAUUUUACCAUUUCUGGCCGAAAACCUUAGAAAUUACAACUUUGAUUUUCCUCUUACUGUACAUAUAGCUGAUGAUCAUGAGUCAUGACGACCUGGUGAAGUUGCUGCUGCUGCUAAAUCCGUUGUUAGGUUUUGCUAGUUGGGAUCAUGCGUCUCCUUUGAUUUGAAUGUUUUUUAUUUGGGGUUUACUUGAGAUAAUGAAUACAUUAGGUGCUGUUAUGUAACAUCCAAUACCAGAUUAUUAUAAGAAGAUUUGCUUUUUCUUUUUUUCUUUGGGUAUUUAUUUGCCAUAAGAGAACUACUGUAGAGCAGCUUCAUUAAGAGUUGAGAUCUUGUUACGUCUACAAUGAGUAUACCUGAUGAACAAUUUUCCAUGGAUCAACUUGAUGAAUCCAAUAAGAAACCGAGAAUUUCAUACACGAGAAACUUUCUUUUAUCCUUGAAAGAUAAAGAUGUUUGUAAGAAGCUGCCAAGUCUUCCCACUGAGUUUAAUGAUUUACUCUUGCGUCACACCGAAGAUCCUUCACCCGAGCGGCUGAGAUUUUCUGGCGAUUUGAGACGGAAUGACUAUAGUUCAUCGCCUCCCACUAGGGGUGAAUUAGGUAGCAACUCCCGAGGCACCCAUGGAAGAUGGGAGGGGCGCUCAGGUGGAUGGAAUGAUAAAGAUGCUGAUUCUUCACAUUCUGAUCGGGACCCAGGAGAGCGUGGAAGGCGUUCUGGCUUGCCGUCUCGGAGGCCUUGGCAACCACCGGAGCAUGAUGGACUUCUUGGGAAAGGUUCUUUCCCUAAGCCUUCUGGAUUUGGUGCGGGAUCAUCUGGCCCCAGACCUCAAUCUAAUGACACGUAUCAGCUGAGGAGAAGCAAUGAACCUUACCAUCCUCCUCGCCCAUACAAGGCGGAACCUUACACUCGACGUGACGCUAGAGACUCACUAAAUGAUGAGACGUUUGGUGCUUCUGACUCUACAAGUGAAGAUAGAGCUGAAGAAGAAAGAAAAAGAAGAGCUUCUUUUGAGUUGUUGAGGAAGGAACAUCAAAAAGUAUUUCAGGAGAGGCAAAAAUCAAACCCAGACUUACGUAAAAACGACUUCGAUUUUACUGAACUGCUUGGGGAGUCCAAAGAUGAAAAAGAGCGGCCAAGUAGAAGCGAUGAAGUCCAUAACACUCCAUCAGAUCCUGGUUCUAGUAACCACUCUUUUCCCCCUCAAAGUAAUGCGCCCAGGCCGCUUGUACCUCCUGGUUUUGCUAGCACAGUUUUGGAAAGAAAGCAAGGGGGAAAACCUCAAGCUGAAACUUCUCAACAUGAGCGUAGUCCUUUGAAUCCCAAAGGCGUUAAUAUGGUGAAUGCGGGAAUUACGAUAGGCUCAAGUGAGAUGCUGGUAGAAGGUGAAGCUGUUCGUGUCUACUCCCCUGACACAAGUGAAAAGGCUGCUAAUAUACCUUCAUUUGUAGGAAUAUCUACAAAUACAGUUAAUCAGGACAAAAGUUUUGAAAAUAUUUCCUCCAUCUCAACCGCUGCUGAAGCUCAGGGAUAUCCUAUAAAAACUGAGCAGGCUCCAGUAACGCUAGAACACAAGAAAAGCUUGGAGGAUGGGCCAUCAAUUCUCGAUAAGAUAUUCAACACCGCUAUAAAUUUGAAUAGUGGUGACUCCUCUAGUAUAACUCAGAAAAUUGUCGUAAAAGUUGAAGAGACAAGGAGCCCUCAGACUGUUAAAUCCUCAAAGUUCGCACAUCUAUUUCUUGAAGAAGAUAACAAGCCAGACGAAGAUCCCCCAUCUAGCAGGCCACCAGGAGGCUUACUGUCACUACUUCAAGGUGCAGAUAAAUUGCAAGGCCACGCCACUAAAAACAUUGAUAAGUUAAGCAACACAUCCGCAAGUAAACCAGUAACAGCUGUUCCACCUGUUCUUACUUGCGAAGACCUUGAGCAGUCAAUUCUGUCAGAAGUCAGUGAAAUCAAUCUUCCUCCUCCUCCUUCAUUGCCAGUUGACCAAGACUUUAGUGUUCCUUCAUUGAAGAAGACCAAACAACGGAAAGCAUCUGUUGAUGACCAGGCUUCGCAGCACCUUCUUUCUUUAUUACAGAGAAGUGCAGACCCAAAAAGUCAAGAUACGGUAACAGAGACUAGACUACCACCAUCUGUGAAAGCAAGUACUGCCGGAGAAGCAGAUCCGGGGAAGUCUUUGACUCUUGAGAAUCUGUUUGGGAGUGCCUUCAUGAAUGAACUGCAGUCAAUUGGAGAACCAGUCUCGGGAAGAGCUAUGGUUGCUGAUGCUCCUGGGGUCACGCUACGAUCAGACAGGUCUAUGGGUGAACUGAGCCAAAGAAAUCAAAUCAGACCUGACGGUCUCACCGGAGGGCUACAAGGCCUUCCAGGAGAUGGUAACUUCCUUGGCGUUGGCGAUCCUGUAAACCCACAAAAAUACAUGUCUUUUCCAGGAUCUCAUAAUCAGGAGCCUGAAGUAACUUUCGACAUCUCUGGCAAGCUAGCUACUUUAAACUCUGGUCCAAGGAACGAUAGACCAACUAUGGGAGGUCAAGAUGGUCCCUUUCUUCAACGCCAUCCCCAACAAUAUGCUCAUGUAAAACCUCAGCUCGAUUUCAUGGGCCAAGGAAGCAUCAGAGGUCAACAUCAGGAUUCUUCACCAAAUCACCCGUUUCCACCAAACAUGAUUCACCAUCGUCCACCUUUCCAGAAUUCAACAACUAGUGGACUUCCUGAGUUUGAUCAUCUUCCGCCUCAUAUGAUGCAUAUGCAAGACAACCUGCAACGCCAGCAUCUAAUGCAAGGAUUCCCCGGUGGUGGUCCACCACACCAUCAGUCUCCUAAUGUAAACAAUCAAAUGCAGGGUCUCAUCCCCGAGUUAAAUCCAUCACAAGGCUUUCCCUUCGCUCAUCGCCAACCCAACUACGGUAUCCCACCAGGUUCUCAAGUCAACAGAGUUGAACAUCCAGCUUCACUGCAGGCACUCUUGGGGAUUCACCAGAGGAUAGACCCGUCCAAGCAGUCGCCCGCAAUGGGUCAAGCCGGUGGUCCUAAUCGUCAGGGCUCUAUGGGUCAUGAACUGGACCAUGGCUUUGGCUACAGAUAACUCUGCUCUGCCCACAAUCCUCCGAAGAAAGGUUUAUGAAGUCUGUUUCUCUUGCUGAUUGUGGUAUCUGGUAUGUGGAUGCUUAUAAAUAACAGUGAUAGAUUUUGAUGUACUUUCGAGUCCUGUGAUUUGCAUGAUCCAUUUUAGGUUUCUGUUUUUCGAAAUCUGUAGCUCAAAUCUCAAUGUUUCCGUGAGUCGAAACACUCCGCAUCCAUUAUAUGGUUAAAUCUUAUCAAGAACAAAAUCGUCAUGUUUUUAUUUGCAUGUUAUUACAUUUGUAUCAAUACAUGGGGUGGCUUUGGAGUU